rnacentral:rRNA from 1 species
GAUGAACGCUGGCGGCGUGCUUAACACAUGCAAGUCGAACGGUGAAAGAGAGCUUGCUCUCUGGAUCAGUGGCGAACGGGUGAGUAACACAUGAGCAAUCUGCCCCUGACUCUGGGAUAAGCGCUGGAAACGGCGUCUAAUACCGGAUACGAGCUGCGAAGGCAACUUCAGCAGCUGGAAAGAACUUCGGUCAGGGAUGAGCUCGCGGCCUAUCAGCUAGUUGGUGAGGUAACGGCUCACCAAGGCGUCGACGGGUAGCCGGCCUGAGAGGGUGACCGGCCACACUGGGACUGAGACACGGCCCAGACUCCUACGGGAGGCAGCAGUGGGGAAUAUUGCACAAUGGGCGAAAGCCUGAUGCAGCAACGCCGCGUGAGGGACGACGGCCUUCGGGUUGUAAACCUCUUUUAGCAGGGAAGAAGCGAAAGUGACGGUACCUGCAGAAAAAGCACCGGCUAACUACGUG